AAUCAACGCUGGCGGCGUGCCUCAGACAUGCAAGCCGAACGAUUAAGACUCUCUUCGGAGAGUGUAUAAAGUGGCGCGCGGGUGAGUAACACGUAGGUAAUGUACCGAAGGGUGGGGAAUAACUUAGGGAAACUUAAGCUAAUACCGCAUAAUGCAGCGGCUCGACAUCGAGACAGUUGUUAAAGGAGCAAUCCGCCUUUUGAGCAGCCUGCGGCAGAUUAGCUAGUUGGUAAGGUAAUGGCUUACCAAGGCUACGAUCUGUAACCGACCUGAGAGGGUGGUCGGUCACACUGACACUGAAUAACGGGUCAGACUCCUACGGGAGGCAGCAGUCGGGAAUUUUGGGCAAUGGGCGAAAGCCUGACCCAGCAACGCCGCGUGAAGGAUGAAGUAUUUCGGUAUGUAAACUUCGUAAGAAUAGGAAGAAUAAAUGACGGUACUAUUUGUAAGGUCCGGCUAACUACGUGCCAGCAGCCGCGGUAAU
rnacentral:rRNA from 1 species